UUGAGCUCGCUCAGUGGCGCGCUGCCUAGUUCUCAGAGUGAGAGAAAAGACGUUUGCUCUGUUUAGCUUUUAGGGGCAACUCUCAGAGUUACCUUUAUUAAAAAAAAGAAAGAAAAAGAAAAAAAAAUCUGCCCUUGAAGGAGAACGCUGGGUCUGUCUUCCGAGACACUUGGCAUCAAUAACGGAUAACUAAUCCUGGAGACUGAGGAAACAAAUAAUCAGCUCAAAAUGCUUACAGCCUUUCAAAGAUUUUCCAGGAUGCGGGUUUGGGAGAGAAAACCUAAGCACAGCCCAGCGAAUUGCCUGCGUUGACCGGUUGGAGCCGAAAGUUUGUGGGAGACCAAGGCAGGGCGAAGACACAAAGUGGGUGCUUACUCCUGAUCAUGGUGGAUGGUGGCUGUUUUGUCUGCAGUUUUACCACUUCUCUAGUGCUGCCACAAUCUGCUGAAUUCUCUUUUGUUCUCUGCAGCCCCCCUACACUCAAGAUUUUAAACUAAUGAAGAUGAAGAAGGACGAGGAGGAGGAAGAAGAGAAACUAUUACAGAUUGGUCUUACAUCAUGGAUCCUGAUUCCAGAAGUAUCAGGAGCUCUUUCAAGAAAUUAGAUGAUCCAUCACCACUGCCUUCAUCCAAACAGACUAUUUAAGGCUUUGACUGCCAUCUGUCAAUCAGAUGCAGAUCCAGUUCUCUGGGCAGCCCCGUUUGGUGUUGGACUCAUCUCUGCGGGCUGGCUCUUCCUUUCUGACACACUCUGCUGCAGCCGCUCUGGCAACAUCUCUUUCCCUGGAGACAGGAAUCCUUCCAAGGUUUAAGAUUAAGAAACUGAGGCUAUAACCAGGCAAAAGUUCAAGAUCCUGCCACUGGUUACUGGUGGAUCUAGAAGUCAAUCUCACAUGAAAUAUGGAUAAAGGGAGAGACCCAGAGGAAACUUUUUGAGCGAUGCUGGCCCCCACAAGAGAAAGUAAUGAAGACCAAAGAGGUAUGUCUGGAAGACUUGGGUUUCCUUGGUGAGGAUACAACCAAAGCAUUGUGACUUCCAUCCAAGUUGUGUGCUGUGUUGCUGUGGUAAGUGACUAUUACUCAACCUACCAAAUUUAAAAGCUCCUUAAAAGGUGCCACAACCAGACACUUAGAGGAAAUGGUUUUCACUUGUAACUGAAUUAUUCUAGCAUGAAUUAUAGAUUGUCACUGCCUCACUAACCCAGAGAGGGGACGAUGAAAGCAGGGUUGCACUGAAAGACUGGAGGUCAGCAUCUGUGACAGGCAUCUUUUCUAUAUAGUGCAGCAAGUAGGCUUCCCACCUAGUCCUGCCUCUUCCGUGGAGAAGGAAUCAGCAUACAAAACUCCCACAUUCCCUUGGCAAAAAGUCCCCACAAGGCAGAUGUAUGAACAAAACACCACUGGGCUCAAAGACAAAAGCUCUGGGGCAGGAGAGCCAGGUUCCUAAUGUCUCUGUGAAGUGGAUUCAAGGCCCAGGAAAGGCCUGACAGGUGCUUGAGGUCCUCAGGGCGGUUCUGACCUUAGAACAUGACAGAGCAGCUUCUCCCAUUUGACUAUGUGUUUUAUAGUUCUUCCUGAGGAAGGGGUGCUGCAAAGGUAAAAAGGCCUCCACUGGGCCUACUGGCUUCUCAGAGAUAACUCCACAGAGGCUUCAGCUCUUUCCAGCUGGACCUGAACUCCAUCUGCCUCUAUCAGUUCCUGCCACUCCAAAGGCUGUGAG